GCUCAGGACGAACGCUGGCGGCGUGCUUAACACAUGCAAGUCGAACGAUGAACCACUUCGGUGGGGAUUAGUGGCGAACGGGUGAGUAACACGUGGGCAAUCUGCCCUGCACUCUGGGACAAGCCCUGGAAACGGGGUCUAAUACCGGAUACAACCACUGACCGCAUGGUCGGGUGGUGGAAAGCUCCGGCGGUGCAGGAUGAGCCCGCGGCCUAUCAGCUUGUUGGUGAGGUAGUGGCUCACCAAGGCGACGACGGGUAGCCGGCCUGAGAGGGCGACCGGCCACACUGGGACUGAGACACGGCCCAGACUCCUACGGGAGGCAGCAGUGGGGAAUAUUGCACAAUGGGCGAAAGCCUGAUGCAGCGACGCCGCGUGAGGGAUGACGGCNUUCGGGUUGUAAACC
rnacentral:rRNA from 1 species